UACGUAGGGGGCGAGCGUUGUCCGGAAUCAUUGGGCGUAAAGCGCGUGUAGGCGGUUCAGUAAGUCUGCUGUGAAAGUCCAGGGCUCAACCCUGGGAUGCCGGUGGAUACUGCUGAACUAGAGUGCGGAAGAGGCGAGUGGAAUUCCCGGUGUAGCGGUGAAAUGCGCAGAUAUCGGGAGGAACACCAAUUGCGAAGGCAGCUCGCUGGGACGUUACUGACGCUGAGACGCGAAAGCGUGGGUAGCAAACAGG
rnacentral:rRNA from 1 species